rnacentral:misc_RNA from 1 species
CACACGCAUGCGUGGCUGCGUUUUUUUUUUCAUUUCGCAUCUCCUUCCUCUUCCUCCUCCUCCUCCUCCUGCGCAUACAGCAAGUGAACAGAACGAGAGAGGGGGGACACGUCAAUGGACUUCGGCUACGACGAGUAUGGAAACCGCACCAGCGCCAGUAACGGCGAUGGUAGGAGGGGUGAAGAAGGCAGAGCCGAAUGGCGCUCUGCUCAGGAGUCGCGAGGCAGCUCCACGUCCAGGUCGAGCGGUGCCGAGGAGGACGCUCACGGUCGACCGCUCGACAGCAGUGAUUCGGAGGGCCACUCCGACUUCAGUGACGAUGUCGAACUUGUCAUUGGUGAGGAGGGCACACAGGCGCUACACGAGCCACUGGUGGACCAGAGCGAGCUGCAGUCGCACGGGCGCCGAGCCGUGGGCUGGAGCAAUGAAGCGCAGUUCUUGCUGGAGAGCCGCUAUGCCGGGCGGGAAGGCACAGCGUCCUCUUCACAGCUGCUGCUGCUGGACGGCGAUCGUCGUCACCAACGGCCACACGACGCGUCGGCUUCGCAGAACUACCUAGACGUUCUCUCCACCCUUCCCGACCGCAUGCGGAACGUCGUGGUUGCUGGUUCCCUCCACCAUGGCAAGACGUCGCUGGUCGAGCUGCUGCUGCACGAGCGUUCGUAUCACAAGCGACAGGAUGAGGUUGAUCGCGAGAUGACUUUGAAGAGUCACGUGCUGACCACCAUCACUGGGGGCGCGUUGCUGCAGCCGACCUCUCGGCAAAUCACGGUCAUUGACACGCCGGGUCAUCCGGAUCUGAUUGGUGAGACCGCGGCCGGCAUGCGUCUUGCGGACGCCGUUCUAUUCUGCGUCGACGCCGCCGAGUCGUUGAGCGACCACAGCGAGCGGCUGCUGCGCCACGCCAUUGUAAAUGAGCAGUUGCCGGUUGUCCUCGUCAUUACCAAGGUGGACCUUCUCAUGAUCGACAUCAAGCUACCACCGCUCGACGCGUACCGCAAGCUGCGCAUGGUCGUGGAUGCCGUCAACAACGUCAUCGCAAGCUGCGGCACCACGUAUGACACCUUCCUUGUAUCCCCUGAGCGUGGCACGGUGUGCUUCUCCUCUGCCAAACUUGGCCUCUGCUUUUCACUGGAGACUUUCGCGAUGAAGUACGCGGCGGUGUACCCAAGCAUCAACGCCGCUGCGCUCGCGACAAAGUUGUGGGGGCAAAUCACAUAUGAAAAGAAGGAAUUCAAGAAGAUUGCUAACUUCCGUCAGCGCCCCAGUUUUGUGCAGUUCGUGCUGGAACCACUCUACAAAAUCGUCGCGCAUUCUGUGACGGGCGAGGCAGCGCAGACCCUCUCGCCUGACCUCGCCAAGCUUCCCCGCUCGCCGCUCUCGGCGCUGCGGGAGGCAAUGCGCUACUUCUGCGGCGCCCCUACCGGAGAGACCUUGGAUGCAAUUCUCAGCGUGUUGCCGGCACCUCCGGCUCGUUCGCAGUGGCUCUCCGAGAAGUACGGCGCAAGUGCAUUGUGCUCCGUGACGAGAGACGCUGCCGCUGCCGCCGCUGAGGGGAUGGAGGUUGGCACCGCUACAGCGAGGGCCGACGACCUUGUCAUCGCUGUCGCAUCUCUCCAGCGUGUCUUCGAUGCCAAGGACACCCUCGCAGCCGUCGUGCGCGUCACACACGGCACUCUGCGUGCAAACAGCAGCAGCAAGAGCAAGGGCACAUGUGUGCCGAGUGGCUGCGACGGUGGUCAGCCAAGACCCCGGUUAAUCGCCUUCGACGAGUUCAGCAGUGACGCGGACCCGUACUAUGAGGUAGAGGUACAGUGUCUGUACCUGCGUACUGUCGAAGAUGGCUUUGUGCCGGUUCAACGAGCGACCGCGGGGCAGACGGUGUACGCGACGGGCUUGCCGGCGCGAUCGGGGUCGCACAUUGUUCUCGUGGGCGGCGCCGCGGCGGCAGCUGUUCUGGCCGAGGACGAAGGCGCCCCCGCCCCGCCCGAAGCUUGCGGCAUCACCUCAGAGUGGGUCGCGCCCAUCAAGGUGCGCUCGUUGGGGUUCCCGCAGCCACUGGUGCACGUUUCGAUGGAGGUGCGCGACCCAGCGAAAGCCAGCAGUGUCCAGGACGGUCUCGGCGUGCUGCUCCGCACCUCCCCUGGCCUCGACGUACACAAAGAGGAAACUGGCGAGUACACGAUCAGCGGCUUUGGAGAGCUGCAGCUGGACACAGCGCUGCACGAACUCCGCCAUGGUCUGUGCCCUAGCGUGCCGGUCGGCAUUUCGCAGCCGUUCGUGACGUUCGCGGAGACGGUGCAGGACGCGGAGGGCCUGCUGGCCAUGACGGGAACGCGCAGCAACUCCGUCGGCUUUGUAAGCGGGGCACUGCCACGCGCCUUCACUCAAGCAAUCGAGUACGAGCAGCUGCGCCUCUUCUCGACGGAGCUCGACGAAGUCCGUCAGCCGCGUAAGCUGUGGACGGUGUUGCGACGUGACUACGGCUUUGACGCGCUCGACGCGCAGCACGUGCUAGCUGCUGGGCCGGACGGCACGAAGGGCCCCAGCAUUCUAAUUGACGACACCCUGGCAGAGGAGGCCCAUCACCCUCUCAAAGUCGCCCACCAGCGCGCUAUCGUCUCGGCCUUCCGUUCCACCAUGGCGGCUGGCCCUUUGGUGGGUGAGAUGGUCCGCGGCGUGGCCGCAAAGCUUAUUUUUGCCGACAUUGACGCGUCGACCCGCGACGCCGUCGUCCUCUCAAACGCGCGCACGGCACUCCGUCACUCUCUGUUCGGUGCCCGCCCUCGACUAAUGGAGCCGGUGAUGGCUGUUGAGAUCUUGUGCGCACCCGAGUGUGUCUUACAGCUCGGCGACAUCCUGCAGCAGCGACGUGGCGCGAUGCUCGGCGAAGAGCCUAUCGCCGCCACAACCCUUAUCCGAGCACGCGCGUUGGUACCUGCCAUGGACAGUUUUGGUCUGGAGACGCAGAUACGCAUGCUCACACACGGGCAGGCUUUUCCGCUCUUCCGGUUUCAUCAGUGGGACGUCGUUCCAGGAGACCCGUUCGAUGCCAGCAUCCACGUUGGCCCGCUGGAGCCGGCGAGGGGUCAUCAACUGGCGCGCGACUUUGUGCUCAAGACGCGCUUUCGCAAAGGUCUGCCGCAGAAUAUGCUGACAGACCUCUAGCCGGUGGAGAGGAACCGCUCGGCGUUGAUGCAGCACACGUGUACCCGUGUGCCCGUGCGCAGGCAGAGAAGGAAAGGAGGCACAACCAUAUAAAUGGCCUGUGCUCAUCCACCGCCCCUCUCUCUCUCUCAGCUAAAGAGAAGAAAAGGAAAAGCAGCAGCAGCAUCGCCGGCACAUCCGUCGCGUAUGCUCGUGCGUAUGUGUAUGUUGUGUGUGCUCCCGUCGAGGCGGCAGCUGCUCUACCACUGCCAGUUAGGGGGUCAGUUGACCACCAUAGACGUAACUGGAGAGGGAACGGAAAAGCAUCAAGACAGUCAAUGAACAUCGACUCGCAGCUGCUCCUGCACUUUCCUUUUGUGGCGCGCACGUGCAUGUGCACGUGUAUGCUCGCGCAUCGGGUGAGGGUAGAGGGGAAUGGGCAGGAGCGCGGCCGAGCCACGGCGCCCCAUCACUUCCCUUCCACCAUAGUGCGCGGUAUGGAAUAAGGGCCACAAGAAGCGAAGUUGUCGUGCUCGCAUCUGAGGCGUUGUCUUUAGCGGCGCUGCCACGUGCAAGUUGAGCGCUGCAUCGAGCAUGCGGCCCCUCGGUCUGAUGUCUGCCAAAGCCUCUUGGAAGGAAAACAAGCCACCGCCUUUUCUUCGUUUCUCUUCACGCAUUGAUCUAUUCGCUCUGCACUGCCUUCGCUCUCUCGCCCUCAUACACACGCACACCGAAG